rnacentral:rRNA from 1 species
AACUCGAGUGCAUGAAGCUGGAAUCGCUAGUAAUCGCGGAUCAGAAUGCCGCGGUGAAUACGUUCCCGGGUCUUGUACACACCGCCCGUCACACCAUGGGAGUCGGGAAUGCCCGAAGCCGGUGGCCCGAUCGAAAGAAGGGAGCCGUCGAAGGCAGGCCGGAUGACUGGGGUGAAGUCGUAACAAGGUAAC